CGCCUCUUGAUCAAAAAUAAGAGGUCCAGCCUGNCCAGUGACUCUGUUUAACGGCCGCGGUAUCCUAACCGUGCGAAGGUAGCGUAAUCACUUGUCCUUUAAAUAGGGACUAGUAUGAACGGCACCACGAAGGUUAUACUGUCUCCUUUUUCCAAUCAGUAAAACUAAUCUCCCCGUGAAGAAGCGGGGAUUAAUUUAUAAGACGAGAAGACCCUAUGGAGCUUUAAACUACGUAACAAUUGCUUGACAUCCCUAGAUUUCAGAAUCACUCACACCUAUUAUAGCUUAAUGAUUACUAGUUUUAGGUUGGGGUGACCGCGGAGUAAAAGACAACCUCCACUUUGUAUGGAAUUAAAUUCCUGAGCCAUGAGACACACCUCUAAGCACCAACUAAUUGACAUCAAUUGACCCAUUAUUAUGAUCAACGGACCAAGUUACCCUAGGGAUAACAGCGCAAUUCGCCUCAAGAGCCCCUAUCGACAGGCGAGUUUACGACCUCGAUGUUGGAUCAGGGUACCCAAGUGGUGCAGCCGCUACUAAAGGUUCGUUUGUUCAACGAUUAAAACCCU
rnacentral:rRNA from 1 species